rnacentral:rRNA from 1 species
UAGUUUGAUGGCGACCGGCAAACGGGUGCGGAACACGUACACAACCUUCCCUUAAGUGGGGAAUAGCCCAGAGAAAUUUGGAUUAAUACCCCGUAACACAACGAAGUGGCAUCACUUUGUUGUUAUAGUUUCGGCGCUUAAUGAUGGGUGUGCGUAUGAUUAGAUAGUUGGCGAGGUAACGGCUCACCAAGUCUACGAUCAUUAGCUGAUGUGAGAGCAUGAUCAGCCACACGGGCACUGAGACACGGGCCCGACUCCUACGGGAGGCAGCAGUAAGGAAUAUUGGUCAAUGGACGCAAGUCUGAACCAGCCAUGCCGCGUGAAGGAUUAAGGUCCUCUGGAUUGUAAACUUCUUUUAUAUGGGACGAAAAAAGGUCUUUCUAGACCCCUUGACGGUACCAUAUGAAUAAGCACCGGCUAACUCCGUGCCAGCAGCCGCGGUAAUACGGAGGGUGCAAGCGUUAUCCGGAUUCACUGGGUUUAAAGGGUGCGUAGGCGGGUAGG